GCUUGCAUCCUCCAGUCUACUGAAAAUUGGCCAGGAGACAGAUAAAACUACAACAAGAAAUAGAGAAUCUGUUUAUUUACUGCUAGAUAUGGUAAAUUGUACAAGAAUCUCCAUUCCUUACAAUGGAUCUUUUGGAAUCUUGUUUUCCUUAUGUCUUGCUGAGAAAUGCAUACCAUGCUGUCUACAAACAAAGUGUUACAUCUUCUGCAUAAAAUUACCUACUUAAUCAAGAUAAGCACGCAUUUUUGUUGCCUUGGUUUUACCUGUAGACUGUGGAACUAUUUUACCUUAAGACCUGAAAAAGUUUUGUGGAUUAUAAAUUUCUUUCAUACGGUUGUAUUUUCUGAUCAUUGGUUUCUUAAUAUGGUUGUACUACAGUAUACUUGGUUGAUUUAGGUUGCACAUUCACUGAAUUCACUGAGAUUAUUCCUAUAAUUUUAAAGUAUCAUUUAUUUGAAAAACAUACAUUAUCAACAUGUUUUUGAUAUUUGAUAAUGAAAAAAAUCUUUGCUUGUUUAUUUCUGAAAAAGAACUGUAUUUAGUGAUUAUUUUAGAUAGUGAUAUUAUAGUAUUCAUCUGUGUGUAAAUUAUUUCAUAUAGGGAAGAGUUCUGAUCUGUACCUAUGGUUCUUAUUGAAAACAACAUUGGAUGUGCAUUUCUGUGAUGUUAUGAAUACAUUUCUACUUUAUUUUGAAACAUUUGCCAAACUAAAUACUGUAACACUGUAUAACAUUUAAAAAUGUUAAAGAACUGCUUAGUAUUAGAAGCAGAUCAUUUCCCAAAAUUCUAAGAGCAGCAGCAUAUGUUGUUGCUUGUAUAAAGCCUAGCGAUAAUUUUUAGACUAACUUCCAUGGUGCCCUGUUGGCAUUAGCACUACCAUUGUACCCUGCUGUAUAAUAAACAAUCUUAGACAUUUAUCAACUGUUGAUACAAAUGUUAGUCCCUAACCACUUUUUAUAUAUGUUUUAAAUUUUUGAAAUUCAAGUGUACCUGCCAUAACAUAAAAUAAACACUAGACUGUAUCAC
rnacentral:lncRNA from 1 species